GUUGACUUUAGAAGUACUGAGUAAUUGAAUGGGAAAAAAAUGUUUGGAUUAUUCUGUAUAUCAUCUUCCUCUCUCUUUUUGUCUACUUUUUCAGUAAACUUGCCUCAGCAAGCCAUCGCUGUAUGGAAAAGAGAAGUGUGAAGAUUUUCCUUUUGUGUUUGAAGGCACAUGAGGGCGAGUUAAUAAUGAUCGAAUUUUCAAUCCGUUCCAUAUGAAAGAUUAGCAACGUAAUGAAAUGACGUGUGUAAAUUGUAGUCAUUUAACACACUGACCAAUGUUUUUGUUUGAUAUUUAAGGAAAUCUGACUCUCUUUUCACAUUUCAUACUGUAAAAAUGAAAAGAUGCACAAAAGACAGAAUUUGCUGGAUUUAUACGCAGCAUCAUCAUCAUCAUUGCUUGUACAAGAAAGCCAGUUCAAAUGUUCUAAGACUCUGAGGUUUACCAACAUGGAAAAGGUCAGAGCUGGACAACUGACGGUUGGAUGCUGCCCACUGCUUCAGGCCUGGGUAUACAGUAUAAACAGCCAGAGCGGACACGGCAGGAUGUGGAGAAAGACUGGUUUGUGUGAGAAAUGUCUAGCAUUUCCUGUGAGGUGGAGAACCAACAAAUCGCCUGACAUGCAGCUUUCAAAAGUCGCAUCCUCACGACAAUCUGACGUAAACUGCAGCAUGCUAUGUGCGACCCAAUAGAUGAGGCGAACAAACAUCGUUGAAAACGAAUCAAGUGAUGCACAAGCAAGAGAAACCAAGUGCUUGGCUUGGACCUGCAAACAACACUCAAACGUGGUUUCAUCUUCAGCAGACUCGAAGAAAAAGAGAUUUAAUUCUUCUCCGGUGUUUAUUGCUACUGUCUGGGGCUAUUAAAUGUGGCAAUGAGCUCUGUCAUAUGUCACUGAGCCAGUGAAAAUGACAGUUUCCAGACGAGAUCUUUAUACUGUGAAACAGGUGGAACUGAUUGGUUUGGUUAUGGCAUCAAAGCAGCAGUUUUCUAGUUGAGAACGAGGUAUGUUUGAAUUGAAUAACCAAAAUAACCCCGUUCUCUUGGGACACAUCAUUGAAUCAGGUCACACAAACACUGUAUGUUUAUAAUAGUAAAGCAACAAAUGGUACACUGGAAAUAACGCUUGGAAAUUUUACAUCAAAAGACUGUAAAAAUGCUCACUCUUAAAAAUAAAGGUUGUUUAUUGGCAUCUAUGAAGAACCUUUAACAUCCAUGAAACAUUUCCACUGCA